rnacentral:rRNA from 1 species
CUACGUAGGUGGCAAGCGUUAAUCGGAAUUACUGGGUGUAAAGGGAGCGCAGGCGGGCGUGCAAGUCAGCUGUGAAAUCCAUGGGCUUAACCCGUGGGCUGCAGUUGAAACUGUAUGUCUUGAGGGCAGUAGAGGUAGGUGGAAUUCCGAGUGUAGCGGUAAAAUGCGUAAUUAUUCGGAGGAAAUCCGGUGGCGAAGGCGGCCUACUGGGCUUUAACUGACGCUGAGGUGCGAAAGCGUGGGUAGCAAACAGGAUUAGAUACCCUGGUAGUCCACGCCGUAAACGAUGUCAACUAGCCGUUGGGGGACUUGAUCCUUUAGUGGCGAAGCUAACGCGAUAAGUUGACCGCCUGGGGAGUACGGCCGCAAGGUUGAAACUCAAAGGAAUUGACGGGG